UCUGUUUCCUUCUCCGCGCAUCCCACCUCCUCCGGCUCCGCCUCCGGCUCCGCCUGCCCAAAAGCCUCGCUGUUCAUCUCGGUCUCGUUCCCGAGCGGCACCAGGCUCCCCGCCGCUGACCGGGCGCUGUCCCUGACGCUAGCCCGCUCGGUCGCGAGGGAGAUCUCGGCGGACUUGGGCGGGGUCGACGGCGCGGCGAAGAAGGAGAGGCCUGCUGCAUUUUCUCUCUCUUCUUUUCAACGGAGCGCGCGCUAUUUCUUCCCGCUUCUGCCUCUCUCUUCCUCAAGCACUCCUCUCCUCUCUGUCCCGAGUCCUCUCACUCACCCCAAGCGCCCCCCUCCUCUCUGUCUCGAGCCCUUUCACUCACCCUAAGCGCUUCCCUCCUCGCCUCGUUCUUGGUCGAUGAUGGCGGAGCUCUACUUGAUGGCUUCGCAUGGUUAUCCGCCGAGCCUCGUUCUCGGUCAGGAGCAAGGGCGCGAGCAGAGUCGUCAGGGAUCUUCAGCCAAUUUUGCCUGCUGCUAGGACAAGACAAGACAUUAUAAGAUUGGGAUCCAUGACCCUCAGUCCUAAUCAAUUCAAGGAGGCAGUGGAACCCCUAUAUGUACUGUUAGCAGCAAAGCAGUGUGUGCAGAUUGAUUCUGUGGAGAAAGAUCCCAUGAUUCUAGAUUUGCAAGAUGUCCACUCAACUACUGGGCCCCUGGGCACCGGAAUUGCUGAACAAUCCACCAUGCAGAGAGAAGUCUUUGAGUUUAGCAUGUCUGGAUUGAGUUGUGCUGAAAAGGCUGGACUAGAUAUGUCUCUAGUAUCUGAUUUAACGGGUCUUCACUCAGUGGAAACUGACAUGCAUUGCCUGACCAUCAUUCCUUCUCUCGUCUACCCUAACUUUCAAUUUUCCACUCAGAGUGCUCUCUCAGAUUUCAUGGGAGAUUUGGUCCGAAAUUAAAAAAUAACCAUUAACUCCGAUGGUAGUCUUGAUCGCAGCUAGUGGGGCUGAGAUGAAGGAUCUCCUCUCAAUUGUAGCGGAGUUUUACCUAUUGAGGAACUUAACUCAAGGGAGAAAGCUUUCGAUGCCAGUUCCUUAUGACAACAACCACCCCAUAUGCUUAGUGGGUCAUCGCCUUAAACCGUUGUUAAAUUGAGCGUAUCUGUUUGUAGAUGAACAUGCAAUUGAGAAAUGCCAAAUUGUUGCCCUGUUAUAUUUGUGUAUGUGCUAGGCCAGUCUUUAGCACUUUAUGGAACUGUAUAUCUACCUCAAUAAACUUAUUCGCUUCUUAACAGAUCUAACUGAGUGAGAACCUUAGUUGUAAGUAUAACAUGUGGGAAGUAAACACAAAACCACCCCAUGUGCAUCAACUUAGUUGCUUGACAUUAGAGAAGCAUGACCCUUGGAAGGAAAUUAAGCUUAAAGGCUACAAUAAGCAGGUGGGUUGAGCUGACAUCUGGCAUUUCGCCAUACUGCUGGGGAUGUUUGUGCUCAGAAAUUUGCAUGCUUUUGAUGAACUUCAAAUAGUGUUAUUACAUGGCUUCUGCCUUAUGUAUGUGAGAGCCUCUGACCCAAGCGUUAUAGAAUCUUCGUUCAACAGUAUAUUAAGUCAAUUGUUUCGUUUUAUAUGUUCCUGUUUAUAUUCUUCUUCUUAUUUAUAUUACUGCUGCAAAUGUGUACUUUUGGAAAUAGACUGCUCAUAUCCUUAUGUCACACUAAUUUUCUGCAUUAUGGUUCUUGAUCAUUUCCAGCAAACUGCAAAAGAGGAGGUAGACAAAAUUGUGGUUACUGAUGCACCACUUCUCUUUCCUCCUGGACAGCUGGCAUUGGCGGCUUUGCGUCAUGCUAAUGAGGUGCAUAGAGUUCUGGACUAUGAAAGAUACCUAGAGAACAUGCUCAUACGCCAAAAUUCCAUUCACAGCAGCACAGAGCUCAUUCAGCAUCUGAAUGCGAUAGAUUCCUCGGUUAGGACAUAUAAAUUCCCUUCUGAGAAAGAUAUGAAACACAUCAACAGGAAGCUGAGGUCUUGUUGGGGCCUUAGUUCACAUGAUGAUAGUAAGAAACGAGACAAGAAAUCGAAGCACAAAUCCAAGCGGAGUGCAGGCUAGAUGCAAGAGGGGUCAUCUCUUGCUUGACAUCAUUGAUAUAUGGCAGGUGUAUGCACAGCUGAGGCAUCAUCAUUAGUGCCACACUCAUCCAAAUAUGCAUCUACUGCGACCAUGGUUGCUGAACUUACUCUUCAAAGCUUGUUUUGUAUCAUGAAAAUAUUCCACAGUAUGGAAGUGACAGAAAACAGUGGGCAUCUAGCAGCUUGAAAGAGCUCUUGAAAUGCAAUUGAUUUAGGAGCAUCGCUGACCAAGGAAGUUGAGAAUUUACAUAAACUACUUUGUGUAUUUUGUGUUCAUCUGGUGGUGUAAAUCAGCAGGUCGAGACAGUCAUGUAUGCGAUAAUUACUGUUGUGAAAGUUGGUAUGAUGGUAACCUACAAUAUUGGAACAGGCCUUGUGGUUGCUCGUAGGGAAGACAGCUCAUGGUCUCCACCUUCUGCAAUUUCUUCAUGUGGAAUAGGGUGGGGAGCACAGGCUGGAGGAGAAUUGACAGACUUCGUUAUAGUGUUGAGAUCAACUGAGGCUGUGAAGACAUUUGAUGGUACUGCUCAUUUUCAGUUGGGGCUGGUUUGAGUGCAGCAGUUUGUGCCAUUGGAAGGGCUGCUGAAGCUGAUGUACGAGUGGGGGAUGGUGGCUGUGCUGCUUGUUAUACGUACAGCUGCUGUAAAGGUACUCAUCUAUAUAGCUAUUUUUCCUUUUAAACUGCGGAGUUGUCCUCUGGACUGAUUUUUGGGGUAUGUAUACAUUGCUAUGCAAAAAACAUGGAUAGUAUCCUAUGAUAUUAACCGUUUUAAUGUGAUAGUAUCCUAUGAUAUUAACCGUUUUAAUGGCCAUUGUCAUACUGAGAGUGAAACGAAGUGAAGCUACUUACAAUCCUCUUGAAGUUAGAAAAGAUUAAAUCUAGAAACAAGACAGGAGCAAAUAUCCUAAAAUCUCUUCGGUUUCAUCAAUCAUAGAUACGUUGAUUCACAUGUUUUGUUUCCCAAUGCAGAAAACAAGUCUUUGGAGAGUCAAGUAGAGUAGCAGACAUACUUACAAUGAGCCCUGUCUUUGCUGACAACUCAGAAAGUGAGGUGGAUGCAGACACCGAGGAAGCGAGACUUAGUAAUUGAAAUGUAAACAUUGCCGAUACUGUAAAGGUAAGGAGCACAAAGUUGGGAGAAAAUGCUCCAGUAGUUGCUGUAGAAGGUUUGAAAGAUCACGAGGAUCAUCCUGCUGAGCAAACUGCGGAAUUCAAGAAAGCACAAAUUAAUUUUUAAACAAGUCUCCGUUGAAAACCAAAGAAGACGGGGGAGCUGUCCUCAGAGUCACCGACGAUGAGCAUCCUGAGGACAUGGCUAUGUCAGAAUAGUCCCAUGCUAUGGAACAUGAAGGGACAGACACACCAGACGACCAUGGCAUUGACUACCAAAACUGUAAAUGAGCUUACAAUCAAGAACAAGAAAGAGUCAAUGGAGUGGGAAGUCUCUGCCAUGAUCGCAGAGUAUAUCGAUCUUGAGAAGUUGGAAGAUGGGAGUGCCCGAGGAAAUGUUAGUGCCUUAUGCAAGUGAGAACGAACGUGCUAAAGUUUAUGCAAGUGAUAGUGCUCCUUCAGAUGUAUUUCAAUGUCAUCCGAGUUAUCAAGGUGAUGGCAAUGAAAAUAUUGAAUUAGGAAUUGACAUGAAGAAAGAGACGUGUUACAAGACCACAGCGAACUGUGUAUUUCCAUUUUAUCGAGUCGAUCUUCUCCUGUAAGACAGAAGCUUAUCGGGAAAACAGCCAAUUGUGUGAA